rnacentral:rRNA from 1 species
CGGGGUGAGCGGCGGACGGGUGAGUAACGCGUGGGAAUAUGCCCUAUGGUGCGGAACAACUGAGGGAAACUUCAGCUAAUACCGCAUGUGCCCUACGGGGGAAAGAUUUAUCGCCAUAGGAGUAGCCCGCGUUGGAUUAGUUUGUUGGUGAGGUAAUGGCUCACCAAGACUUCGAUCCAUAGCUGGUCUGAGAGGAUGAUCAGCCACACUGGGACUGAGACACGGCCCAGACUCC